UACAGAGGGGGCGAGCGUUGUUCGGAAUUACUGGGCGUAAAGGGCGCGUAGGCGGCCAACUAAGUCAGACGUGAAAUCCCAUCGGCCUCAACCGGGGAACUGCGUCUGAUACUGGAUGGCUUGAAUUCGGGAGAGGGAUGCGGAAUUCAGGUGUAGCGGUGAAAUGCGUAGAUAUCUGGAGGAACACCGGUGGCGAAGGCGGCAUCCUGGAGCCGAGAUUGACGCUGAGUGACGCGAAAGCCAGGGGAGCAAACGGG
rnacentral:rRNA from 1 species